CAGUCUAACCUAGGGACCGACAUAUCCUCCUUCGCAGCUGUGUUGGGUUGACUCUCCUGCAUCCUUCCCCCCCCCACAGCAAUCAACACUUAGAUCCCGUCAACGGUGAAUUCUAUCUUUCCUUCAGCUGUACUGUCCCUGGACAAGCCAGAGACGGAAACACGUGAAAGUGCUUCGAGAUUUGCGUCCACAAAAUCCAGCUACAAUUCUACCAUUUGUGACGAGGAAUUCAAGUACAUGUGUAAUGGAACAAGACGAGAUAUUCAUGUGUAUAUGUACUGUACAUUACAUGACAGCAACGGUGUUUGAUUUUUGGGUACAUCCGCAGGCUUCACAGCUAUUUCUUGAUAUGCCCUGUAAUUCUAUGAAUAGCAGGUGGAUGUGAUGGGGGGAUAGCGAAUAUGGUUUCUCGUUCGGCAUUGUCCCGUUGUUUGAUGAUACACUAGGGAUCAAGGGAUAAAAGGAA
rnacentral:sRNA from 2 species